rnacentral:rRNA from 1 species
ACCGUGAGGUAGAGCAAAUCACAAAACUCGGUCUCAGUUCAGAUUGCAGGCUGCAACUCGCCUGCAUGAAGUUGGAAUUGCUAGUAAUCGCGAAUCAGAAUGUCGCGGUGAAUACGUUCCCGGGUCUUGUACACACCGCCCGUCACACCAUGGGAGUCGGAAAUGCCCGAAGCCGGUGACUCAACCGCAAGGAGAGAGCCGUCGAACGGCAGGUCUGAUAACUGGGGUGAAGUCGUAACAAGGUAAC